UACGUAGGGGGCAAGCGUUGUCCGGAAUCAUUGGGCGUAAAGAGCGUGUAGGCGGUCAGGUAGGUCCGAUGUGAAAACUGGAGGCUCAACCUCCAGCUGUCAUUGGAAACCUUCUGGCUAGAGUCCGGAAGAGGGGAGUGGAAUUCCUGGUGUAGCGGUGAAAUGCGCAGAUAUCAGGAAGAACACCUAUGGCGAAGGCAGCUCUCUGGGACGGUACUGACGCUGAGACGCGAAAGCGUGGGGAGCGAACAGG
rnacentral:rRNA from 1 species